rnacentral:rRNA from 1 species
UACGGGGGGGGCAGGCGUUGUUCGGAAUUACUGGGCGUAAAGGGCUCGUAGGCGGCCAACUAAGUCGGACGUGAAAUCCCUCGGCUUAACCGGGGAACUGCGUCCGAUACUGGAUGGCUCGAGUUUGGGAGAGGGAUGCGGAAUUCCAGGUGUAGCGGUGAAAUGCGUAGAUAUCUGGAGGAACACCGGUGGCGAAGGCGGCAUCCUGGACCAACACUGACGCUGAGGAGCGAAAGCCAGGGGAGCAAACGGG